UUUAUCGGAGAGUUUGAUCCUGGCUCAGGACGAACGCUGGCGGCGUGCCUAAUACAUGCAAGUCGAGCGGACAGAUGGGAGCUUGCUCCCUGAUGUUAGCGGCGGACGGGUGAGUAACACGUGGGUAACCUGCCUGUAAGACUGGGAUAACUCCGGGAAACCGGGGCUAAUACCGGAUGCUUGUUUGAACCGCAUGGUUCAAACAUAAAAGGUGGCUUCGGCUACCACUUACAGAUGGACCCGCGGCGCAUUAGCUAGUUGGUGAGGUAAUGGCUCACCAAGGCAACGAUGCGUAGCCGACCUGAGAGGGUGAUCGGCCACACUGGGACUGAGACACGGCCCAGACUCCUACGGGAGGCAGCAGUAGGGAAUCUUCCGCAAUGGACGAAAGUCUGACGGAGCAACGCCGCGUGAGUGAUGAAGGUUUUCGGAUCGUAAAGCUCUGUUGUUAGGGAAGAACAAGUACCGUUCGAAUAGGGCGGUACCUUGACGGUACCUAACCAGAAAGCCACGGCUAACUACGUGCCAGCAGCCGCGGUAAUACGUAGGUGGCAAGCGUUGUCCGGAAUUAUUGGGCGUAAAGGGCUCGCAGGCGGUUUCUUAAGUCUGAUGUGAAAGCCCCCGGCUCAACCGGGGAGGGUCAUUGGAAACUGGGGAACUUGAGUGCAGAAGAGGAGAGUGGAAUUCCACGUGUAGCGGUGAAAUGCGUAGAGAUGUGGAGGAACACCAGUGGCGAAGGCGACUCUCUGGUCUGUAACUGACGCUGAGGAGCGAAAGCGUGGGGAGCGAACAGGAUUAGAUACCCUGGUAGUCCACGCCGUAAACGAUGAGUGCUAAGUGUUAGGGGGUUUCCGCCCCUUAGUGCUGCAGCUAACGCAUUAAGCACUCCGCCUGGGGAGUACGGUCGCAAGACUGAAACUCAAAGGAAUUGACGGGGGCCCGCACAAGCGGUGGAGCAUGUGGUUUAAUUCGAAGCAACGCGAAGAACCUUACCAGGUCUUGACAUCCUCUGACAAUCCUAGAGAUAGGACGUCCCCUUCGGGGGCAGAGUGACAGGUGGUGCAUGGUUGUCGUCAGCUCGUGUCGUGAGAUGUUGGGUUAAGUCCCGCAACGAGCGCAACCCUUGAUCUUAGUUGCCAGCAUUCAGUUGGGCACUCUAAGGUGACUGCCGGUGACAAACCGGAGGAAGGUGGGGAUGACGUCAAAUCAUCAUGCCCCUUAUGACCUGGGCUACACACGUGCUACAAUGG
rnacentral:rRNA from 1 species